rnacentral:rRNA from 1 species
UACGUAGGGGGCUAGCGUUGUCCGGAAUCAUUGGGCGUAAAGCGCGUGUAGGCGGCCCGGUAAGUCCGCUGUGAAAGUCGGGGGCUCAACCCUCGGAUGCCGGUGGAUACUGUCGGGCUUGAGUACGGAAGAGGCGAGUGGAAUUCCUGGUGUAGCGGUGAAAUGCGCAGAUAUCAGGAGGAACACCAAUAGCGAAGGCAGCUCGCUGGGACGGUACUGACGCUAAGGCGCGAAAGCGUGGGGAGCGAACAGG